rnacentral:rRNA from 1 species
GAUGAACGCUGGCGGCGUGCCUAAUACAUGCAAGUCGAGCGAACGGACGAGAAGCUUGCUUCUCUGAUGUUAGCGGCGGACGGGUGAGUAACACGUGGAUAACCUACCUAUAAGACUGGGAUAACUUCGGGAAACCGGAGCUAAUACCGGAUAAUAUUUUGAACCGCAUGGUUCAAAAGUGAAAGACGGUCUUGCUGUCACUUAUAGAUGGAUCCGCGCUGCAUUAGCUAGUUGGUAAGGUAACGGCUUACCAAGGCAACGAUGCAUAGCCGACCUGAGAGGGUGAUCGGCCACACUGGAACUGAGACACGGUCCAGACUCCUACGGGAGGCAGCAGUAGGGAAUCUUCCGCAAUGGGCGAAAGCCUGACGGAGCAACGCCGCGUGAGUGAUGAAGGUCUUCGGAUCGUAAAACUCUGUUAUUAGGGAAGAACAUAUGUGUAAGUAACUGUGCACAUCUUGACGGUACCUAAUCAGAAAGCCACGGCUAACUACGUGCCAGCAGCCGCGGUAAUACGUAGGUGGCAAGCGUUAUCCGGAAUUAUUGGGCGUAAAGCGCGCGUAGGCGGUUUUUUAAGUCUGAUGUGAAAGGCCACGGCUCAACCGUGGAGGGUCAUUGGAAACUGGAAAACUUGAGUGCAGAAGAGGAAAGUGGAAUUCCAUGUGUAGCGGUGAAAUGCGCAGAGAUAUGGAGGAACACCAGUGGCGAAGGCGACUUUCUGGUCUGUAACUGACGCUGAUGUGCGAAAGCGUGGGGAUCAAACAGGAUUAGAUACCCUGGUAGUCCACGCCGUAAACGAUGAGUGCUAAGUGUUAGGGGGUUUCCGCCCCUUAGUGCUGCAGCUAACGCAUUAAGCACUCCGCCUGGGGAGUACGACCGCAAGGUUGAAACUCAAAGGAAUUGACGGGGACCCGCACAAGCGGUGGAGCAUGUGGUUUAAUUCGAAGCAACGCGAAGAACCUUACCAAAUCUUGACAUCCUUUGACAACUCUAGAGAUAGAGCCUUCCCCUUCGGGGGACAAAGUGACAGGUGGUGCAUGGUUGUCGUCAGCUCGUGUCGUGAGAUGUUGGGUUAAGUCCCGCAACGAGCGCAACCCUUAAGCUUAGUUGCCAUCAUUAAGUUGGGCACUCUAAGUUGACUGCCGGUGACAAACCGGAGGAAGGUGGGGAUGACGUCAAAUCAUCAUGCCCCUUAUGAUUUGGGCUACACACGUGCUACAAUGGACAAUACAAAGGGCAGCGAAACCGCGAGGUCAAGCAAAUCCCAUAAAGUUGUUCUCAGUUCGGAUUGUAGUCUGCAACUCGACUACAUGAAGCUGGAAUCGCUAGUAAUCGUAGAUCAGCAUGCUACGGUGAAUACGUUCCCGGGUCU